UGGUCCUACGGGGCGCAGCAGUGGGGAAUAUUGCACAAUGGGGGAAACCCUGAUGCAGCGACGCCGCGUGAAGGAAGAAGGCUUUCGGGUUGUAAACUUCUUUUAAGGGGGAAGAGGAGAAGACGGUACCCCUUGAAUAAGCCACGGCUAACUACGUGCCAGCAGCCGCGGUAAUACGUAGGUGGCAAGCGUUGUCCGGAUUUACUGGGUGUAAAGGGCGUGCAGCCGGGCCGACAAGUCAGAUGUGAAAUCCGCUGGCUUAACCCGCGAACUGCAUUUGAAACUAUAGGUCUU
rnacentral:rRNA from 1 species